GCCCUGGUCUUGGUCCUGGUCCUGGCCCUGGUCCUGGCCCUGGUCCUGGCCCUGGUCCGGGCCCGGGCCCAGGC
rnacentral:miRNA from 1 species